AGUGAACGCUGGCGGUAGGCCUAACACAUGCAAGUCGAACGGCAGCACAGUAAGAGCUUGCUCUUACGGGUGGCGAGUGGCGGACGGGUGAGGAAUAUAUCGGAAUCUACUUUUUCGUGGGGGAUAACGUAGGGAAACUUACGCUAAUACCGCAUACGACCUACGGGUGAAAGCAGGGGAUCUUCGGACCUUGCGCGAUUGAAUGAGCCGCUGUCGGAUUAGCUAGUUGGCGGGGUGAAGGCCCACCAAGGGGACGAUCCGUAGCUGGUCUGAGAGGAUGGUCAGCCACACUGGAACGGGGCCACGGUCCAUACUCCUACGGGAGGCAGCAGUGGGGAAUAUUGGACAAUGGGCGCAAGCCUGAUCCAGCCAUACCGCGUGGGUGAAGAAGGCCUUCGGGUUGUAAAGCCCUUUUGUUGGGAAAGAAAAGCAGCAGGUUAAUACCCCGCUGUUCUGACGGUACCCAAAGAAUAAGCACCGGCUAACUUCGUG
rnacentral:rRNA from 1 species